rnacentral:rRNA from 1 species
CAGUGCCGCGGUAAUACGGAGGGGGCUAGCGUUGUUCGGAAUUACUGGGCGUAAAGCGCGCGUAGGCGGCUUUGUAAGUCAGAGGUGAAAGCCCGGAGCUCAACUUCGGAAUUGCCUUUGAGACUGCAUCGCUUGAAUCCGGGAGAGGUGAGUGGAAUUCCGAGUGUAGAGGUGAAAUUCGUAGAUAUUCGGAAGAACACCAGUGGCGAAGGCGGCUCACUGGACCGGUAUUGACGCUGAGGUGCGAAAGCGUGGGGAGCAAACAGGAUUAGAGACCCCAGUAGUCCCUGUCUCUUAUACA